CCUACGGGAGGCUGCAGUGGGGGAUAUUGGACAAUGGGGGAAACCCUGAACCAGCGAUGCCGCGUGAGGGACGAAGGUUUUCGGAUUGUAAACCUCUGUGGAGGGGGACGAUAAUGACGGUACCCCUUUAGGAAGCCACUGCUAACUACGUGCCAGCAGCCGCGGUAAUACGUAGGUGGCGAGCGGUGUCCGGAAUUACUGGGUGUAAAGGGAGUGUAGGCGGGAUAGCAAGUCAGAAUGUAAAACUAUGGGCGUAACGCAUAGACUGCUUUUGAAACUGUUUUUCUUGAGUGAAGUAGAGGCAAGAGGAAUGCCUGGUGUAGCGGUGAAAUGCGUAGAUAUUAGGAGGAACACCAGUGGCGAAGGCGGCUUGCUGGGCUUUUACUGACGCUGAGGCUCGAAAGCGUGGGGAGCAAACAGGAUUAGAUACCCGAGUAGUC
rnacentral:rRNA from 1 species